GACGAACGCUGGCGGCGUGCUUAACACAUGCAAGUCGAACGGGUCUGCCCUGUUUUUUGCGGGGUGGGUCAGUGGCGAACGGGUGAGUAACACGUGAGUAACCUGCCCCUCACUUCUGGAUAACCGCUUGAAAGGGUGGCUAAUACGGGGUGUUCUGGCUGUGCCGCAUGGUGUGGCUGGGAAAGAUUCACUUUUGUGGUGUUUUGGUGGGGGAUGGGCUCGCGGCCUAUCAGCUUGUUGGCGGGGUGAUGGCCUGCCAAGGCUUUGACGGGUAGCCGGCCUGGGAGGGUGGGCGGUCACACUGGGACUGAGAGACGGCCCAGACUCCGGCGGGAGGCAGCAGUGGGGGGUAUUGCACAAUGGGCGGAAGCCUGAUGCAGCGACGUCGCGUGAGGGAUGGAGGCCGUCGGGUUGUGAACCUCUUUCGCCGGUGAAGAAGGUCCUGCUCUUUGUGGUGGGGUUGACGGUAGCCGGGUUAUGAAGCGCCGGCUAACUACGUG
rnacentral:rRNA from 1 species